GGAAGGGUGGCAGAGCGGUUGAAUGCACCGCACUCGAAAUGCGGCGUACGGGUAACCGUACCGGGAGUUCGAAUCUCCCCCCUUCCGCCA
rnacentral:tRNA from 1 species